AAGUUCGUGUGAGGGCGUUGUGUAAGACCCGGAGGAUAAUAUGGCCGAUCGAACUACGAAUGUUCAAAUGCUGCGCGUUGAUAGCUGCGCACUGGCAUGCAUCACUCGUCAUGUUUACACCGGACGACUGUCGUUUUUAGUAAAUGUAGCGUUGAUAAUGCUGAGAUGUAAGUUCAUGUGAUAUAGUUGCUGGUGAGGUGCAUUCGACGAAAUAAAAAAAGUCCACCGCCAUGCGGAAAGAGCGGGAAAGCCAUAGUUAAGGUGGGAACAAGGAUUAAAAUCUUAGUGGGGAGAACAACACCCAUUUACUUAUGCGAAAUAUCACUUUUUCCUAAAUGAUUAAUAACUGAUGUAUGUUGAUGAGAAAAUAUAUACAAUGACGAUACAAUCA